rnacentral:rRNA from 1 species
AUUGAACGCUGGCGGCAGGCCUAACACAUGCAAGUCGAACGCGUGGCGGACGGGUGAGUAAUGUCUGAGAACCUGCCUGAUGGAGGGGGAUAACAACUGGAAACGGUAGCUAAUACCGCAUACCAUCGGAUGUGCACAGAUGGGAUUAGCUUGUGGGUUGGGUAACGGCUCACCAAGGCGACGCUCCCUAGCGGGUCUGACGGGAUGACGAGCCCCAAUGGAGCGACGACAAGGUUCAGACGCCUUCGGUAGGAAGCAGUGGGUAAUAUUGCACAAUGGGCGAAAGCCUGAUGCAGCCAUGCCGCGUGUAUGAGGAAGGCAUUCGGGUUGUAAAGUACUUUCAGCGGGGAGGCGUUACCCGCAGAAGAAGCACCGGCUAACUCCGUGCCAGCAGCCGCGGUAAUAC